AGGUCCUGUGAGUCACGACGAGAAAGGUUGAGAAAGGUUGUUAGGGACAGUGGUGCAAAGUACGUAGCAUCUGGAAGGCCUGCUCUCCCUCCCCAUGCCUGAGUCUCCUAUUGCCAAAAUAUUCCAAAGAGAAGUAUUACGUAUCUAAGAAGAGAAAAGAGGGGACGCAUUGCGGAGGGUGGAGCGUGAACACAGGAGCACCGUGUGGGAAGAGUAGGGAAGCGCAAAUGAUCUCCUGCCAUUUCAGCAGAUAGAGGAAUGGGGCCGGAGGUGAAAAUGGGCAGGAGGACUCGGGAGGCUCUCUGGUGGCAGCAGAGCCGGCAUGCUCGUGUUGGCCAUUUCUCAGCUGGGGAAUCCGCCACGGAGAGGUUCCCUUUAGCAAGAGAGGCAGAGGCUCUCUUUCUCAGGUCUUUCAGGGUGCUGUCUGCCCUCCUUCGAGACGUUUCCCCAGGAGGAUGGGCCAAGAGGAGCUCCGUCCGUGCCUCAUCCCGCCCCCGCCCCCAGCCCCAGCCCUCGACUCCCAGCCCCUGUCCAGUCAGGUGAGGCGCCCAGAGUACCUCGUGAGCAGCACCAUCGCCUUGCUGACAGUGACUUGUGUGUCCCCCUAGCAACGCACGACGACGCUGUUGUGGAGGCCGGUGGGAGUGAGAAGACUGAGGCAAAGCCCCGGGCUGGGGGACAUGAGGACGAGGCGGCCCCAGUACCUGAGGUGGAGGUGGAGGAGCAGGCGGGCCAGCCCCGUGAAAAUGGCCAGGAGGAGUCGUUAGCCAUCGCCUGGGCCGAGCCGGAAGACGAGCCUGGCCCCAAGGUGGACGGGGCGGCCGAUGAAAUCUAUGUCUACGCAGCAGUGGGACUGCGGGGUCCCGUGCUAGGUCCGAGGGCAGCUUUCCUGAGGACCUGCCAUAGGGUUUCCUGUCCUGGCUGGGCCAGCUGGCCUUCCCGCCCACAGCGUACAGAAGUCCCAGGUAGUCACAUCUUCCCAGACGACCUGUUCACGCUUGAAAACACUCCGCGUCCUACCAGGAGGGAGGUGAUAGCUCGUUGUGCCUUUGCUUUGCCUUGCCGUUGUGGUGGGUGACUUUGGGAAACGUUCCGUGUGUGUGCUGCUGUCUGUUGUCUUCUUGGACGGAGGCGGUCUCCCAGGCUUCCGCUCACCUACACCUGAGUUAUUUGCCUUUUGGGUCAAUUGAUUUGGCGUUGUUUCCCACAGAUUCUGGACAUGAGCCCCUGUUCCAAAUGUAAGGUUUGCAGAUAGCGUCUUCUGCGGGUUGUCUUUCCAUUCAGUGGCUCGUCAGACACUGUCCUUUCUGUUUGUCUCUGUGUUCAUUGAGGUGCCGUGUUGUUUCAUUUUCUGCCGUGUAGCAACAUUCCCCAGGCGUGUGUGUGCAUAAACACAGGUUCCUUUUGGACUGUUAUCGUCCGUCCCGGUCGAUUUCAGGAGAUGGGAUCCAGUUCCCCGUGCGCUGCAGCAGGAGGACCUCGUCGUCGCUCCAUUCUCAAUGCCGUAGUUGGCAUCGACUCCCCCCAAACGCCCAGUCCGUGCCCUUCACGAAAGCCACAAGUCUGUUCUCUGUGUCCGUGGGUUUUGUGGACAGGGUCCUUUGUGCCAUGGUUUAGACUCCACAUCUAAGUGAGAUCUCUCUCUUUGUCACGUACUUCGCUUUGUAUGAGAAUGUCUCGAUCCAGCCCUAUGGUUUUGAAUGGCAUUGGUUUCUUCUUGGAUUUUCUGGCUGAGUCGUGAAUUCCCUCGUGUAUGUGGACCACAUGGUCGUGAUCCAUCCCUGUGCCUGUGGACAUGAGGUGGCGUCCCUGUCCUGGCUGUUGUGAGUGGUGCCGCCAUACACACACA
ensembl:lncRNA